rnacentral:misc_RNA from 1 species
GGAAGUGAAAGUCGUAACAAGGUUCCCGUAGGUGAACCUGCGGAAGGAUCAUUAAUGAGUUGUCAUGGGGUUCGAUGCUGGCAGCCAGUUUUUGGAUGCAUGUGCUUGCCCUAACAAUCAUCUUCUUCCAAACACCUGUGCACAUUUUUGAGGGAGUCUUGAGUUGGUUGCCGCUCUUGGGUGAUUUUCUCACAUUCCCUUAAAUCAUUAUACGCUAUUAACAAUGUUGAACGUGCUCUGUGCCGCAAGGCCAUUAAUAUAAUACAACUUUUAACAACGGAUCUCUUGGCUCUC